rnacentral:rRNA from 1 species
AAGAGCCCAACACCGAAUCCCUUGGCGCAAGUCAACGGGAAAUGUGGUGUUAAGGUAGCCCUUCGUGUCAGUCUAGGCGUCUCAAGUCCACCUGAUUGUGGCUCAAGCCCAGAGAGGGUGUAAGGCCCGUAGAGACGCUCCGACUGAUUCCUGGGGUUUACCUACGAGUCGGCUUGUUUGGGAAUGCAGGCCAAAGCGGGUGGUAAACUCCAUCCAAGGCUAAAUACUGGCACGAGUCCGAUAGCGGACAAGUACCGUGAGGGAAAGUUGAAAAGAACUUUGAAGAGAGAGUUCAAUAGUACGUGAAACCGCUUAGAGGCAAACGGAUGGUGCUCAUACUGGCCUGAGGAAUUCAACUGUGACGGUGGCUGGACGAGCUGGCGUUCCGAUCUCUCUUUUGGGACGGGCGUCGGUUUGGCUAUCAGCUCCGACAUGGUGCACUUUCCUUGGUGCCUCCGCCACGACCGACGACACUGGCUACCCGCGGCUGGGGUAAGGUGACAAACUGCUUCGGCAAUUUGUGUUAUAGACCCCGGCGUCGGACAUGGUUUGGCCAGGACGUCGAGCUUGCGGCGCCCGCUCCUUGUGGGCUCGCAUGUUGGCUAGCUUGGCUGCGCCGAUGCUUGCACUGGACAACCAGUACAGGUGACGGUUGUGGUCUUGUCUCUAGUUGGCCUCUGCGAGUUUGGCGCCUAUAGUCUGUGGUGUACUUGUGGGUAGACUAUCCGACCCGUCUUGAAACACGGACCAAGGAGUCUAACAUGUGCGCGAGUCAUGGGGAUUCUACGAAACCCAAAGGCGCAGUGAAAGUAAAGGCCUGCUUCUCGUAGGCUGAGGUGGGAUCUCGUGCAUCGCGAUUGGCGAGCGCACCACCGGCCCGUCCUAUCUGUCUCUGUCAGUGGGGCGGCGCAAGAGCGUACACGUUGGGACCCGAAAGAUGGUGAACUAUGCUUGCGCAGCUCGAAGUCAGUGGAAACACUGAUGGAGGAGCGCAGCGUUUCUGACGUGCAAAUCGAUCGUCAAACGUGAGUAUAGGGGCGAAAGACUAAUCGAACCAUCUAGUA